CUACCACUUCCCUGGGGAGCCUGUUCUGAAACUUAACCAGUCUUUUAGUGAAAUUUUUUUCUUAGUUGGUGCCAGAAAGCAUCUACCUGGAAACACUCAGACACUGGUAAUAGUAUAUGGAUCCUGUUGGAGAUAGAGUAUCAUACAAGUAUUGGAUGAAUAGCAAACAGCCUUGCUGAUUGAGUAUCUCAGCCCAGACAAUGGGCUCCUGCCUCCAGGAGUGUGCGACUGAAAUAAAUCCACUGACUUGAGCAGCCCUGCUCCAUCGCAACCGAGAGCCGAAGCUGG
rnacentral:lncRNA from 1 species